rnacentral:lncRNA from 1 species
CUCUAUCUUGGGCUGUGGAAUGUACAUUUAUAGAAGGAACCCACGUCUGAUUGGUUUGGUCUGGCUUUUUAUUCCAUCACCCCGUAAGGCAAGCUUCCAAGAUUUUCUGGACUCUGGAAGAAAAUAAAAGUGAGAGUGUUCUUGGCCGAGGAAAUGCACAUUCAAGGCAGAUUCAAGGGUUUCAAUAUGUGGAUAGACUGGAUUUUCUCUGUUAAGAGUCAACUACUAAAAAUAGAAAUAAUUUGGGAAUCCUUUAAAGAGAGGCCAUUUUUGCUAGUCCUCAUUUGAAUAAAUCCAUAAAGUGAAAGAGGGUAUAUAAUGAUCUGUAGACAUGCUAGCUGUCCUCAAAAACCAUAAAUGUAUCAGUGGUAUUAAGUCAUUUGUGCAUGAAGAGAUAAAACAUUAACCAUUAGCCUCCAACUGGGCACAGCCAUAAGAGUUGUAGAAAGUAAGAAGAGAAACGGGAAUUUUGAGUUAGGUAAUCAGAAUAGAAUUCAGGGAGGAAGGGUGAUAAGAUGCAGGCCUUGAAGGAUGAAUAUAACUAUAGCGAAUUUCUGGGUGGGAACUGUUUGAAUGGAUAACAGCAC